rnacentral:tRNA from 1 species
GGGCCUGUAGCUUAGUCAGGGUAGAGCCCCCGGCUCAUAACCGGGUGGUCACCGGUUCAAAUCCGGUCAGGCCCAC